rnacentral:lncRNA from 1 species
GGGGUUCAUCUGAAGGCGAGUGAGUCAGCCUGUGCUAGAAGACUGGGAUGGGGCUAGCCAAGUUCACCUGUAACUCCAGCACUUGGGAGGCGGAGGCAAGAGAAGCCCUGUGAAUCUGCGGCCAGUCUGGGCUACGUGGUGAGGCUUUCCCAGCUACACAUGGGAACUAACAACAGCGGCCAUCAUGGGUUAUUCUGAGGAGUAGUUGGCUCAUCACAAGGCACUGAACAUCAUCUAGCCAUAGGCAGCAAUGUCCUCUGGGACACCCACUGACCGGGGAAUGGAGGCGUCACAAAGGCGAGAGCCAACCCAGGCUGCUCACCAGGGACGUGGGCUCUGCGCCCAGUGAGGCGAUGGUGAACGAAGGCAGAGGCGGGACCCCACUACAGGGACACUGCUGGCUGCCUACCCUUUGCCUGGCCAGCCCUUUGCACUCAAGGCUGCUCAAUGACGCGAGUGCUGUUAUUUCUGGUUCACAGUGGAUACAGCCAAGCCACAGAGGUGCCACAGUUCUAGAAAUGGUGGCUCUUGGAGGAGCUGGGUCAGGAUUUCAGCCUGGGCAUUCCGAUUCCAGAGGCUGCUGAUCUUCUGGACACCCACCACCACCGCGCCUCCCUGCGGCUCCCACUAGAACAAGGACAGCAGAGGAGACUGAAGGAGAGGAGACACUGGGGUCAAGGAUGCAGAUUUUCCAUCCAGCUCAAAAGAAGUGAGCCUGGGAUAACUGGCGUCCAUGGGAGGUGUUUGGUCCUUCACCAACUCUUAACGGACACAUUUUAAAUAUUGGAUAAUACAUUUUUAAAGCACAGCAGGUUCCCAUAACCCAGCAAGAGCAACUCCAGAGAGGCCCAAGGAAGUUCUGGAAUAAAAUCA